GGUAGAUAAAAGUAAAAAAAAUACCACUGUGGACUGAAGUCUGAGUGACUGGGGAGAAAUGAGAGGUGAAGUGAAAUGGCACAGAAUGUUGGGAGAAAGCAACAAGGGACAGAUCAGAAAGGCUGCUGUGCUGGCCUUCCAAAGGUCUGUAUGGGAGCCCAUCUUUCCCCUGUGAUCCUACAAGCUUUUUUCUCUCUCUGGUUGUCAGUGACAUGAGGCUCAGCUCCAGUGCUACAUGGAAUAUUUCUGAUCUAAUUCUAAUAGCCCCUACAUUUCAAGAGAUGGAUAUAAACACCAGAUGGAUAUUAGACGAAAAUUGGAUUACUCUGCCGUGAGAGAGAUAUGGAAAGGCCUUUUUCCAACCAUGCACUAGACAGAAUUGUAACACACAGGCUCCUGUCUCUGUCACACACAGUUAAAAUAAGGAGGGAUGACAUCUGCGAAGAUGUACGUAGCCAGCUCUGCACAGCGGCACACCACAGAAGCCAAGCUUGUGUGCACACCUGUGUGCACAGACCAGUUAUGGAGUUGAGUUGCAAGCAAACUGGAGCAAAGCAGCUGCAAGGUCUGAGGCAAGGCGCUGGGAGGACCCCUUGCUGCAGGAUGGGGGGAUAGAAAAUGCAGAGCAGGAACAGACAGGCUAAGCACGUCAAGCAUCUAGCUCAGUAAAGGCGCACAGGGGCUGCUCAGCAAAGGGUGCCUACAAUAACUAUUAUUUAGUCCAAAAAAAAAAAUUCAGCCCCUUUUGGAAAACAGUGGCACUGAGCUGGUGUCACCCGGUUCAGAGGCGGCUGACUUCGGUGUGCUGCAGCAAGUCUACCAGAACUACUGAGCCGCUUUCACGAGGAGGGAGGAGAGUCCUGACGGCCCGCGCCGCCCUCCGGGAAAGGAGCCGCUGGGGCGGCAGAAGCUCCUCCCUCCGCCCACCCGGACUUGCGUCACAGCAGCUGCUGGGCGGCCUCCAGCGGAGCAUGCGCCCUCGGAGUUGCGUAACCCACCCGGGCAGCUC